rnacentral:rRNA from 1 species
CAGCAGCCGCGGUAAUACAGAGGGUGCAAGCGUUAAUCGGAAUUACUGGGCGUAAAGUGCGCGUAGGUGGUUUGUUAAGUUGGAUGUGAAAUCCCCGGGCUCAACCUGGGAACUGCAUCCAAAACUGGCAAGCUAGAGUAUGGUAGAGGGUGGUGGAAUUUCCUGUGUAGCGGUGAAAUGCGUAGAUAUAGGAAGGAACACCAGUGGCGAAGGCGACCACCUGGACUGAUACUGACACUGAGGUGCGAAAGCGUGGGGAGCAAACAGGAUUAGAUACCCCUGUAGUCCCUGUCUCUUAUAA